GGCCGAGCGGGGCCGCGCGCCGAUGGCGCAGUCCGGGCGCCCGCCGGCGCGGCCCGGGCCCGGGCGCCCGGGGACGCUCUCGGGGUGGGAGGGGUUCGCGCUCGCCCUCCCCAGGCGGGGGCCUGGGCGCCGCCAAGCCGGCUCGCCCGGGCGCGCCGGGCCCAGGACCUCGGGCUUCCAGAAACGGCAGGGGCCCCCGUCAGGGUGGGAGGGCGGUUUGCGAAAGGGGAACUGCACCUAUGCGCCCCGCCGAGAGGGUCUGCUCGGGGGGGGGGGGGGGGGCUCGGGGCGCACCUGUCCGGCGGUGGAGCCCGGUCCCCUGGCCCGGCGCGCGCGCCCUCUGGUGGCGGCCGAGAGGAGCGCGCGCUCCCUCCCCCGUCCCCUUUCCCUCACCCACCCACAGGCGUAGGGCACCCUGGCAGCAGCAGGCAGGCUCCAUCCAGGAGCCGGCUGCCCGCAUUCCCAGGGCCCUGAGUCCGAGGGAGAAGAGAGGGGGCUGUCAGGUCACGUGGCCGGGCAGGGAUGCUCACCAGCUUCAUAGGGGCCAGGGUCUCCAAAGCUCCACCCCAGCCCUCCUUCCCGCCCAGACUGCGCCCCAGGCCCCAGCAGGCUCCCUGUUCUCCGAGUGCAUGGCGUGCUCUGUCCAUGCACACAGGCCCUAAGUGCACUGGGCCUUGGACUUGGCUGACCCUCCAGGUCGAAGGCGCCAGGGAUGGGCCCUGGGGGUAAGAGUGUCCUGUUAGACCCCUGUCCCAGGGCCGGGAGCCAGUGCCCCUUGUUCUGUCCCUGGGGGGUAGGGCUCUCAGUGCAGAGGGGCCAGGAGCCUGCCCACUGGCCUCUGCCCAGGGCUCAGAGCCACUGAGCCGCCUGGGCUCCCAGGCUCAAGGCAGGGCGACCAGACGGACACUCCACAGGAGGAAGGGAGUGGACAGUGGGCUUGUCACACGCUGGUGGGGAGUUAAUGAUUCAGGCCUCGCUGAGGUCGAGGACUGCACUGUCCUGCCCGCUCCCCCCCCACUCCUCCCCCCGCCCGCCCCCGGGCUCCUGGACAGGUCACCUAACCCCUCUGUGCUGCGGGCCCUUUCUCUCACGUGGGGAUGCCAUGGAUGACAAGUAAGGUGCGAGGACUCCCUUGGUGACAGCGAGGGGGGGCAGUAGAGUGGGCAGCGUCCCUCUUUCCUCAGGCUACCAGCCCUGGGAGUUGCCCGGAGCCGGGCCGGGGGACUAGGCGGGAGCUUCUGAAACCACUGAAGGCCCGGGAAGCCGAGGAAAUCCAGGCCUGGGAAAAGAAGCCGUUCACAGCAGAAAAAAAGCCUCUGAGGCCUCAUGUGCAGGUGGCCCAAGCGUCCACGGACAGAACGCAUGUGCACAAUGUGACCCGUCCACAAAACGGAAGGUCAUCCGGCCGUAAAAAGAACGGAGUCUGGACACACGCUACAGCACAGCCACGCGAACACACGCCAAGUGGAACGAGCCAUCAAGCAUCGUCCGGCUCCAUUCACGUGACCCAUCCACGAAAGGCCAGGCCUAGUGACCAGAGGGCGGACUCGUGGUGGCCGGGUGUGGGAGGGGAGUGGCUGCCGCCAGGCACGAGGGAACUUCGGGAAUGAUGGGAAUAUUCUAGAACGGGAUCGCGGUGGCGACUGCACAGCCUCGAGGGUCUGCUAGAAAAACUAGCUCCAUUUAUACACUUA